rnacentral:rRNA from 1 species
UACGUAGGGUGCAAGCGUUGUCCGGAAUUAUUGGGCGUAAAGAGCUCGUAGGCGGUCUGUCGCGUCUGCUGUGAAAACUCAGGGCUUAACCCUGAGCUUGCAGUGGGUACGGGCAGACUAGAGUGCGGUAGGGGAGACUGGAAUUCCUGGUGUAGCGGUGAAAUGCGCAGAUAUCAGGAGGAACACCGGUGGCGAAGGCGGGUCUCUGGGCCGUAACUGACGCUGAGGAGCGAAAGCAUGGGGAG